GAGCCUACGGGACGCAGCAGUGGGGAAUAUUGCACAAUGGGGGAAACCCUGAUGCAGCAACGCCGCGUGAGUGAAGAAGUAUUUCGAUAUGUAAAGCUCUAUCAGCAGGGAAGAAGAUGACGGUACCUGAUUAAGAAGCCCCGGCUAACUACGUGCCAGCAGCCGCGGUAAUACGUAGGGGGCAAGCGUUAUCCGGAUUUACUGGGUGUAAAGGGAGCGUAGACGGUUCUGCAAGUCUGAAGUGAAAGCCCGUGGCUUAACCGCGGAACGGCUUUGGAAACUGUGGAACUGGAGUGCUGGAGAGG
rnacentral:rRNA from 1 species